AGCUGUCCGUGGGACGUGGAGCAGGGCGGUGGGCGCCCAGGGAGGCUGCUGCGGGGAGAAGCAAAGCGUGACUUCUCCGGAGCAGAAAACUGGGAGACUUCUGGAUGGCACUACUCCCGCUGUGUGGACGCGGCUUAUGAAGCACUUCCCAUCGCCGUCAUUUACUUCUGUGAGCCAUGAAGCUCUCCUGACAUCGACAGGAAAGGCAAGGUUGACUAUGAUCCGUCAAACUCUCUGA
rnacentral:lncRNA from 1 species